GUUAAACGUGACAUUUAAUGUGACUUGCAACUCCCGUGAAUCAUCAAGAUUUUGAACACAUACGGAACUCUUGCUGCUUUCGAGUAGCAAGGGUACUUGCUUGUGAGUGUCAGUACCUCAUUCAUAUUAGCUCUGGGAGGUCUUUCAUCCAAUUGAGUUGGAUUUAAGAACCCUCGGCUAUCAUCAAUCUUAGGAUUGGGUACUAGAAGGACCUUUGGUCUUUCGAAACAGAAUUUUCUGACCUCAUUUGUGAGUGGUUACCCACUGAAUUUAA
rnacentral:misc_RNA from 1 species